UGUUGUAGGCCCAACAAGUUAACUCGUGAGUUGCUCGUGCGAUUGCCAAACCGGAGAAGGCUUAUUCAAGGACAAAAGGAGAUGCAUUGGGAAUCGUAACAGCAAAAGCCAAAGCUUUAGAAAUAGCAUACUUUACAACAGAAAUGAAUUAGUGUAGUGAAUUUUAUGCAAUAUGGUUUUCUACUUUGAAAUAUUUUCUCAAAUAAAUGGCAAAAUCUCACUGCCAGUGCCCAUAAUUUAUAGUGCUUUUUGUAAUGUUGUUGACUUGUAUGAUGCACCUUCACUUUUUUAUUAUAUUUAAUGAGAACGCAUUCGAUAUGCAUUCUCAGUGUCAUGGUCUUGCAGUUUUUUAUCUUUAUUGACUAGAAAAGUACACCUAAAAUAUGUCAUUUAUCAAGGGUGUUAUCAUAUAUAGAGCUAAACUUCACAGUUACCAUUUUAUGAUUUCAA